rnacentral:rRNA from 1 species
GAUGAACGCUGGCGGCGUGCCUAAUACAUGCAAGUCGAGCGAACAGACGAGGAGCUUGCUCCUCUGACGUUAGCGGCGGACGGGUGAGUAACACGUGGAUAACCUACCUAUAAGACUGGGAUAACUUCGGGAAACCGGAGCUAAUACCGGAUAAUAUAUUGAACCGCAUGGUUCAAUAGUGAAAGACGGUUUUGCUGUCACUUAUAGAUGGAUCCGCGCCGCAUUAGCUAGUUGGUAAGGUAACGGCUUACCAAGGCGACGAUGCGUAGCCGACCUGAGAGGGUGAUCGCCCACACUGGAACUGAGAAACGGCCGAGACUCCUACGGUAGGCAGCAGUAGGGACUCUUACGCAAUGGGCGAGAGCCUGACGGAGCAACGCCGGGUGAGUGAUGAAGGUCUUCGGAUCGUAAAACUAUGUUAUUAGGGAAGAACAAAUGUGUAAGUAACUAUGCACGUCUUGACGGUACCUAAUCAGAAAGCCACGGCUAACUACGUG